UACGAAGGGUGCUAGCGUUGCUCGGAAUCACUGGGCGUAAAGCGCACGUAGGCGGAUUGUUAAGUCAGGGGUGAAAUCCUGGAGCUCAACUCCAGAACUGCCUUUGAUACUGGCGAUCUUGAGUCCGGGAGAGGUGAGUGGAACUGCGAGUGUAGAGGUGAAAUUCGUAGAUAUUCGCAAGAACACCAGUGGCGAAGGCGGCUCACUGGCCCGGUACUGACGCUGAGGCGCGAAAGCGUGGGGAGCAAACAGG
rnacentral:rRNA from 1 species